rnacentral:rRNA from 1 species
CCCGUACCGCAAACCGACACAGGUAGUCAAGAUGAGAAUUCUAAGGUGAGCGAGCGAACUCUCGUUAAGGAACUCGGCAAAAUGACCCCGUAACUUCGGGAGAAGGGGUGCUCUUUAGGGUUAACGCCCAGAAGAGCCGCAGUGAAUAGGCCCAAGCGACUGUUUAUCAAAAACACAGGUCUCUGCUAAACCGUAAGGUGAUGUAUAGGGGCUGACGCCUGCCCGGUGCUGGAAGGUUAAGAGGAGUGGUUAGCUUCUGCGAAGCUACGAAUCGAAGCCCCAGUAAACGGCGGCCGUAACUAUAACGGUCCUAAGGUAGCGAAAUUCCUUGUCGGGUAAGUUCCGACCCGCACGAAAGGCGUAACGAUUUGGGCACUGUCUCAACGAGAGACUCGGUGAAAUCAUAGUACCUGUGAAGAUGCAGGUUACCCGCGACAGGACGGAAAGACCCCGUGGAGCUUUACUGUAGCCUGAUAUUGAAAUUCGGCACAGCUUGUACAGGAUAGGUAGGAGCCUUUGAAACGUGAGCGCUAGCUUACGUGGAGGCGCUGGUGGGAUACUACCCUAGCUGUGUUGGCUUUCUAACCCGCACCACUUAUCGUGGUGGGAGACAGUGUCAGGCGGGCAGUUUGACUGGGGCGGUCGCCUCCUAAAAGGUAACGGAGGCGCUCAAAGGUUCCCUCAGAAUGGUUGGAAAUCAUUCAUAGAGUGUAAAGGCAUAAGGGAGCUUGACUGCGAGACCUACAAGUCGAG